rnacentral:rRNA from 1 species
AUUGAACGCUGGCGGCAGGCCUAACACAUGCAAGUCGAGCGAGCGGCGGACGGGUGAGUAAUGUCUGGGAAACUGCCUGAUGGAGGGGGAUAACUACUGGAAACGGUAGCUAAUACCGCAUACCAUCAGAUGUGCCCCGAUGGGAUUAGCUAGUAGGUGGGGGAACGGCUCACCUAGGCGACGAUCCCUAGCUGGUCUGAGAGGAUGACCAGCCAAACUGGAACUGAGACACGGUCCAGACGCCUACGGGAGGCAGAAGUGGGGAAUAUUGCACAAGGGGCGCAAGCCUGAUGCAGCCAGGCCGCGUGUGUGAAGAAGGCCGUCGGGUUGUAAAGCACUUUAAGCGGGGAGGCGUUACCCGCAGAAGAAGCACCGGCUAACUCCGUGCCAGCAGCCGCGGUAAUAA